UACGGAGGGAGCUAGCGUUGUUCGGAAUUACUGGGCGUAAAGCGCACGUAGGCGGCUUUGUAAGUUAGAGGUGAAAGCCCGGGGCUCAACUCCGGAAUUGCCUUUAAGACUGCAUCGCUUGAAUCCGGGAGAGGUGAGUGGAAUUCCGAGUGUAGAGGUGAAAUUCGUAGAUAUUCGGAAGAACACCAGUGGCGAAGGCGGCUCACUGGACCGGUAUUGACGCUGAGGUGCGAAAGCGUGGGGAGCAAACAGGAUUAGAAACCCCCGUAGUCC
rnacentral:rRNA from 1 species